UCAUGUUCGAGAAACCCCUCUCCUUCUCCCGUUUCCACUUCUUCCCCCGUCUCGCCUUCUCCUCUUCGCAAGGGCUGUAACCCCCCUCCUCCUCCUCUGCUUAUUGCUUCUAUUCUUAAAGCUGUGUUAAGGUACGGAAAGAAGCAGUUUGCGGUUGAUGAGACCAGGCGUGAUACUUAGAAUUGUCCAGUGCCUUCAUGCAAUGAACCACCAGUAUUGACCACUUGCUUCUAGUCUAAAAGCUGUGUUAAGAUACGGAAAGAAGCAGUUUGCGGUUGAUGAGACCAGGCGUGAUACUAGAGAAUUGUCCAGUGCCUUCAUGCAAUGAACCACCAGUAUUGACUACUUGGGUUUUCUGAAUUUUUGUGCAUCUUAAUUCUGAUUUCUGAAGCUGUUUCCUGGGAAAAAAUACGGCGAUCUGCAAAAACU